rnacentral:rRNA from 1 species
UACGAAGGGGGCUAGCGUUGCUCGGAAUCACUGGGCGUAAAGCGCACGUAGGCGGCUUUCUAAGUCAGGGGUGAAAUCCUGGAGCUCAACUCCAGAACUGCCUUUGAUACUGGGGAGCUCGAGUCCGGAAGAGGUGAGUGGAACUCCGAGUGUAGAGGUGAAAUUCGUAGAUAUUCGGAAGAAACACCAGUGGCGAAGGCGGCUCACUGGUCCGGUACUGACGCUGAGGUGCGAAAGCGUGGG